rnacentral:rRNA from 1 species
UCGCCUGUUUAUCAAAAACAUCUUUAUUAACAUAUUUAAUAGUAAGAUCUGCUCAAUGAUACUUAAAUAGCCGCAAUUGUGCUAAGGUAGUAUAAUAAUUUGUCUUUUAAUUAAAGACCAUACAAAAGAUUUAACAUUUUAAUUAAUUUAUAUAAUAUUAAAUAUUUAAAUUAUUUUAAUUUUAAUAAAAAAAUUAUUUCAAAAAAAGACGACAAGACCCUAUUUGAACUUAACUUUUAGUUAAACUGGGGUAGUUGAUAAAAUAUAAUCUUAAUUGUAAUUAAUAUUAAUAUGAUCUAAUAUAAUUAAUUAUAAGAUUAAGUUACCAUAGGGAUAACAGCGUAAUAAUUUUUUAAAGUACUUAUUUCUAAAAUAGAUUACAACCUCGAUGUUGAAUUAAUAUUCUUAUAUUAUGCAAUAAUUAAUAAAGAAAGUCUGUUCGACUUUUAAAUCAUUACAUGAUCUGAG